rnacentral:rRNA from 1 species
UACGUAGGGGGCAAGCGUUGUCCGGAUUUAUUGGGCGUAAAGAGCGUGUAGGCGGCCAAACAGGUCAGCUGUGAAAACUCGAGGCUCAACCUCGAGACGUCGGUUGAAACCGUUUGGCUAGAGUCCGGAAGAGGAGAGUGGAAUUCCCGGUGUAGCGGUGAAAUGCGCAGAUAUCGGGAAGAACACCCGUGGCGAAGGCGGCUCUCUGGGGACGGUACUGACGCUGAGACGCGAAAGC